rnacentral:rRNA from 1 species
AUUGAACGCUGGCGGCAGGCCUAACACAUGCAAGUCGAGCGGAUGAAGAGAGCUUGCUCUCUGAUUCAGCGGCGGACGGGUGAGUAAUGCCUAGGAAUCUGCCUGAUAGUGGGGGACAACGUUUCGAAAGGAACGCUAAUACCGCAUACGUCCUACGGGAGAAAGCAGGGGACCUUCGGGCCUUGCGCUAUCAGAUGAGCCUAGGUCGGAUUAGCUAGUAGGUGAGGUAAUGGCUCACCUAGGCGACGAUCCGUAACUGGUCUGAGAGGAUGAUCAGUCACACUGGAACUGAGACACGGUCCAGACUCCUACGGGAGGCAGCAGUGGGGAAUAUUGGACAAUGGGCGAAAGCCUGAUCCAGCCAUGCCGCGUGUGUGAAGAAGGUCUUCGGAUUGUAAAGCACUUUAAGUUGGGAGGAAGGGCAGUAAGUUAAUACCUUGCUGUUUUGACGUUUACCGACAGAAUAAGCACCGGCUAACUUCGUGCCAGCAGCC